UUCCCCUAGUAACUGCGAGUGAAGCGGGAAAAGCUCAAAUUUAAAAUCUGGUAGUCUUUGGCUGCCCGAGUUGUAAUCUAGAGAAGCGUUAUCCGCGCUGGACCGUGUAUAAGUCUCCUGGAAUGGAGCGUCAUAGAGGGUGAGAAUCCCGUCUUUAACACGGACUCCCAGGGCUUUGUGAUGCGCUCUCAAAGAGUCGAGUUGUUUGGGAAUGCAGCUCUAAAUGGGUGGUAAAUUCCAUCUAAAGCUAAAUAUUGGCGAGAGACCGAUAGCGAACAAGUACCGUGAGGGAAAGAUGAAAAGAACUUUGGAAAGAGAGUUAAACAGUACGUGAAAUUGUUGAAAGGGAAACGCUUGAAGUCAGUCGCGUUGGUCAGGGAUCAACCUUGCUUUUGCUUGGUGUACUUCCUGGUUAACGGGUCAGCAUCAAUUUUGACCAGUGGAAAAAGGUCAGGGGAAUGUGGCAUCUUCGGAUGUGUUAUAGCCUCUGAUCAUAUACAUUGGUUGGGAUUGAGGAACUCAGCACGCCGCAAGGCCGGGUUUUACCACGUUCGUGCUUAGGAUGCUGGCAUAAUGGCUUUAAUCGACCCGUCUUGAAACACGGACCAAGGAGUCUAACAUGCCUGCGAGUGUUUGGGUGGAAAACCCAUGCGCGUAAUGAAAGUGAAAGUUGGGAUCCCUGUCGUGGGGAGCACCGACGCCCGGACCAGACCUUCUGUGACGGAUCCGCGGUAGAGCAUGUAUGUUGGGACCCGAAAGAUGGUGAACUAUGCCUGAAUAGGGUGAAGCCAGAGGAAACUCUGGUGGAGGCUCGUAGCGAUUCUGACGUGCAAAUCGAUCGUCGAAUUUGGGUAUAGGGCGAA
rnacentral:rRNA from 1 species